rnacentral:rRNA from 1 species
AGUGAACGCUGGCGGUAGGCCUAACACAUGCAAGUCGAACGGCAGCACAGUAAGAGCUUGCUCUUACGGGUGGCGAGUGGCGGACGGGUGAGGAAUACAUCGGAAUCUACUUUUUCGUGGGGGAUAACGUAGGGAAACUUACGCUAAUACCGCAUACGACCUACGGGUGAAAGCAGGGGAUCUUCGGACCUUGCGCGAUUGAAUGAGCCGAUGUCGGAUUAGCUAGUUGGCGGGGUAAAGGCCCACCACGGCGACGAUCCGUAGCUGGUCUGAGAGGAUGAUCAGCCACACUGGAACUGAGACACGGUCCAGACUCCUACGGGAAGCAGCAGUGGGGAAUAUUGGACAAUGGGCGCAAGCCUGAUCCAGCCAUACCGCGUGAGUGAAGAAGGCCUUCGGGUUGUAAAGCCCUUUUGUUGGGAAAGAAAAGCAGCAGGUUAAUACCCCGCUGUUCUGACGGUACCCAAAGAAUAAGCACCGGCUAACUUCGUG